CCAGCCAUGCCGCGUGCAGGANGACGGCCCUANUGGGUUGUAAACUGCUUUUGUACCGGARAAAACCUCCCCUCGUGAGGGGAGYUGAUAGUAUGGUAAGAAUAAGCAUCGGCUAACUUCGUGCCAGCAGCCGCGGUAAUACGAAGGAUGCAAGCGUUAUCCGGAUUCAUUGGGUUUAAAGGGAGCGUAGGUGGGUUUGUAAGUCAGKGGUGAAAGCCGGCAGCUUAACUGUCGAAUUGCCAUUGAUACUGCAGACCUUGAGUACAGAUGMKGUGGGCGGAAUAUGACAUGUAGCGGUGAAAURCAUAGAKAUGUCAUAGAACACCGAUUGCGAAGGCAGCUCACAAAACUGUAACUGACACUGAGGCUCGAAAGUGCGGGGAUCAAACAGGAUUAGAUACCCUGGUAGUCCGCACUGUAAACGAUGAUUACUCGCUGCUGGGARGUMACWKUCAGUGGCUUAGCGAAAGCGAUAAGUAAUCCAC
rnacentral:rRNA from 1 species